GCCAGAAUUCCUCCUGAGUUCUGGAGACGGGGAUCGUAAGACAGGGCCGAAUCUUCAGGCAAUCCUCAAGCUGAAAAAGAAAUAAAAACCUUCUCCAACAAAUAAAGACGGCCGCAAAACCAAAGUUGAAGAUGUGUUAGUGAGAGGUAAAAACUCAUUGGACUUUUAACGCCAUUCAACAUAAUAAACAAUAAAGAGUGAGAUAAUACGUGUGAGCUGUGAGCUCACAAUUGUACGAUGAAAUUGAGGCCACUGAUUUUAUACUAAGAGGACGAUAACAUGAAAUCUCAAGAAGCUUGAAUCGUCAGCACUUGUAUUACAUCUAAUUAAGAUUAUAAAUAUGACAAAUGAAGAAUCCGUUUACUAUGUUCACCAUCUAUUGAUUAAA